rnacentral:rRNA from 1 species
GGGACACGUGGUAUCCUGUCUGAAUAUGGGGGGACCAUCCUCCAAGGCUAAAUACUCCUGACUGACCGAUAGUGAACCAGUACCGUGAGGGAAAGGCGAAAAGAACCCCGGCGAGGGGAGUGAAAAAGAACCUGAAACCGUGUACGUACAAGCAGUGGGAGCACGCUUCGGCGUGUGACUGCGUACCUUUUGUAUAAUGGGUCAGCGACUUAUAUUCUGUAGCAAGGUUAACCGAAUAGGGGAGCCGAAGGGAAACCGAGUCUUAACUGGGCGUUAAGUUGCAGGGUAUAGACCCGAAACCCGGUGAUCUAGCCAUGGGCAGGUUGAAGGUUGGGUAACACUAACUGGAGGACCGAACCGACUAAUGUUGAAAAAUUAGCGGAUGACUUGUGGCUGGGGGUGAAAGGCCAAUCAAACCGGGAGAUAGCUGGUUCUCCCCGAAAGCUAUUUAGGUAGCGCCUCGUGAAUUCAUCUCCGGGGGUAGAGCACUGUUUCGGCAAGGGGGUCAUCCCGACUUACCAACCCGAUGCAAACUGCGAAUACCGGAGAAUGUUAUCACGGGAGACACACGGCGGGUGCUAACGUCCGUCGUGAAGAGGGAAACAACCCAGACCGCCAGCUAAGGUCCCAAAGUCAUGGUUAAGUGGGAAACGAUGUGGGAAGGCCCAGACAGCCAGGAUGUUGGCUUAGAAGCAGCCAUCAUUUAAAGAAAGCGUAAUAGCUCACUGGUCGAGUCGGCCUGCGCGGAAGAUGUAACGGGGCUAAACCAUGCACCGAAGCUGCGGCAGCGACGCUGAUGCGUUGUUGGGUAGGGGAGCGUUCUGUAAGCCUGCGAAGGUGUGCUGUGAGGCAUGCUGGAGGUAUCAGAAGUGCGAAUGCUGACAUAAGUAACGAUAAAGCGGGUGAAAAGCCCGCUCGCCGGAAGACCAAGGGUUCCUGUCCAACGUUAAUCGGGGCAGGGUGAGUCGACCCCUAAGGCGAGGCCGAAAGGCGUAGUCGAUGGGAAACAGGUUAAUAUUCCUGUACUUGGUGUUACUGCGAAGGGGGGACGGAGAAGGCUAUGUUGGCCGGGCGACGGUUGUCCCGGUUUAAGCGUGUAGGCUGGUUUUCCAGGCAAAUCCGGAAAAUCAAGGCUGAGGCGUGAUGACGAGGCACUACGGUGCUGAAGCAACAAAUGCCCUGCUUCCAGGAAAAGCCUCUAAGCAUCAGGUAACAUCAAAUCGUACCCCAAACCGACACAGGUGGUCAGGUAGAGAAUACCAAGGCGCUUGAGAGAACUCGGGUGAAGGAACUAGGCAAAAUGGUGCCGUAACUUCGGGAGAAGGCACGCUGAUAUGUAGGUGAAGUCCCUUGCGGAUGGAGCUGAAAUCAGUCGAAGAUACCAGCUGGCUGCAACUGUUUAUUAAAAACACAGCACUGUGCAAACACGAAAGUGGACGUAUACGGUGUGACGCCUGCCCGGUGCCGGAAGGUUAAUUGAUGGGGUCAGCGCAAGCGAAGCUCUUGAUCGAAGCCCCGGUAAACGGCGGCCGUAACUAUAACGGUCCUAAGGUAGCGAAAUUCCUUGUCGGGUAAGUUCCGACCUGCACGAAUGGCGUAAUGAUGGCCAGGCUGUCUCCACCCGAGACUCAGUGAAAUUGAACUCGCUGUGAAGAUGCAGUGUACCCGCGGCAAGACGGAAAGACCCCGUGAACCUUUACUAUAGCUUGACACUGAACAUUGAGCCUUGAUGUGUAGGAUAGGUGGGAGGCUUGGAAGUGUGGACGCCAGUCUGCAUGGAGCCGACCUUGAAAUACCACCCUUUAAUGUUUGAUGUUCUAACGUUGACCCGU